AACAAAGAGACAUGAAGGAAACACUUAUUUCCUGGCUCAAGGAAUCCUCUAUGUAAGUUCAGGAUCUGAGACCUGGCAGAAGAUCAGCUACAGGAAGAGAUGCCUGAAUGAUUUCCUGACUUCAUAGAAGACUGCAUGACGUGGAUGACUUCUUUCUGUGGACACGUUUAGAAGGCAAAACGUUUUAUCAGAGNNNNNUUUUUUUUUUUUUUUUUUUUUUUUUUUUUUUUUUUUUUUUUUUACUACAUGAGUGAGCUUUCAAGAUGAAGAUGUAAAAAGUCAUGCAAGCUGCUGGGCUCCAGUCAAGUACAUUGUCCCUCCUGACCAUGACUGCUCUGAAGGCAGGGUAGCUGUCUGAUGUGUCCUGCUGGCACCUGAGUACUUCAGGUGUCGUGGUUUAACCCGGCCGGCAGCUAAACACCACGCAGCCGUUUGCUCACCCUCCCCCCUCCCUUUCUGGGACGGGGGAGAGAAAUGGAAAGUGAAGCCUGUGAGUUGAGAUAAAGACAGUUUAAUAAGACGGGAAAAAAAAAAUAAUAAUAAUAACAAUAAUAAUAAUAAUACAAUUGUGAUAAUAGUACUACUACUACUAAUAUGUACAAACAAGUGAUGCACAAUGCAAUUGCUCACCAGC
rnacentral:lncRNA from 1 species